rnacentral:misc_RNA from 1 species
GAUGAAGAACGUAGCGAAAUGCGAUAAGUAAUGUGAAUUGCAGAAUUCAGUGAAUCAUCGAAUCUUUGAACGCACAUUGCGCCCCUUGGUAUUCCAUGGGGCAUGCCUGUUCGAGCGUCAUUUGUACCUUCAAGCUUUGCUUGGUGUUGGGUGUUUGUCCCUCGGGACUCGCCUUAAAGUCAUUGGCAGCCAGUGUUUUGGUUUUGAAGCGCAGCACAAGUCGCGAUUCAAGGCUAUCCGCCCGCUUCCACAAGCCUUUUUCACUUUUGACCGCGGAUCAGGUAGGGAUACCCGCUGAACUUAAGCAUAUCAAUAAGCGGAGGA